GACCUCUUAGCUCAGUGGUAGAGCGUGAGAUUCCAGCUUAGCUUGGCUCCUCAAGGUCGUCCGUUCAAUCCGGGCAGGGGUCA